rnacentral:rRNA from 1 species
UACGUAGGGUGCAAGCGUUAAUCGGAAUUACUGGGCGUAAAGCGUGCGCAGGCGGUUUUGUAAGUCUGAUGUGAAAUCCCCGGGCUCAACCUGGGAAUUGCGUUGGAGACUGCAAGGCUGGAGUCUGGCAGAGGGGGGUAGAAUUCCACGUGUAGCAGUGAAAUGCGUAGAGAUGUGGAGGAACACCGAUGGCGAAGGCAGCCCCCUGGGUCAAGACUGACGCUCAUGCACGAAAGCGUGGGGAGCAAACAGG